CUCCAGCCAUCCAACCCCAGCAGCGACCACCACCUUCCACAACCAACGGACAGCAGCUCACCGAAUAUAGAAGCAUCCCCUUCAUUGAAAAUCUCAGUCCUACAAUCGCCAACAUCCUAAAAGCCGAUUUUCCACAGGUACGAAUUGCCUACAAAACAUUAAAAAACACAAAUAACAUCCUACGAUCAGUUAAAGACCCCCUCCCUAUACUCGACCAAUGCAACGUUAUUUACAGUCUAGAAUGCACAGACUGUAAACAAACAUACAUUGGAAUGACCACAAACCAGUUAAAAACUAGAAUGUCUGGACACAAGAGCAAUGUUAACCAAUACACCAAAUUAAUCCAAAGCAAUGACACACACAAAUGAAGAAAUCCUAAGACUAGGCGAAAAAACGACAUUAAUGAAACAUGUCAUUGAAAACAACCAUAUGUUCAAUGUUGCAAACCCAAAAAUUCUCGAUAGGGCCAAUAGAAAAUCAACACUACCAACACUAGAGAUGUGUCACAUCAUCCAUACACCUAACACAGUCAACCACCGCACAGACAUACAAGGUCUAAGUACAACGUACGCAGGACUAUUCCACACAAUUAAACAGUCCACCACACGUAGACAAACCCCAGCCAUAUCAACAAUGGAACCAAUUCCACCCCUCCUAAAUGAAACUGAUGAACGUGAUCCACAAUCACCACAAAAUUCACCAACCAUUUUGAAACGAUCGUUACCAGUGCUGUGAAGUCCAAUCAAAACUAUAUAUAUUAAAAAAACCUUCAAAAAACAGUAAGUUAGGUAAAAUUGUGCAUCAAAUCGAAAAUAAUAACCAUAUUAUAACAGACAGGUAAUGAAAAGGCAGGCCAAACACAAAUGGUUAGGCAACUAUAUACACGGGAGACGAUAGACACUACGACCCUUGAGAAAGGCCAAAACCCUUCGGCCGAAACGU